rnacentral:rRNA from 1 species
UUAUUUUUUCUUACUUUUGUUUUUAGUUUUAGAUUAUUGUUUUUAGAAGUAUCUUUGUUUUUAGUAUUUUAUAGAAUUAAUUCUUUUUUGUGAUAGUUUAUUUUACUGUGAGGGGUUGAUUGUUAUUAUAUUAUAAGUAGAUUUAUUGUCGUACCUUUUGCAUCAGGGUUUAUUAAAAUUUUUUAUUUAUUAUAAUUUUCCCGAAAUUGGAGGAGAUAACCUUAAGUGCGUGGUUUGUGUGAUAAAAUGAUUUGUAACUUAAGGUUAGUAGUGAUAUGCUAUUCACUUUCUAUGAUAUCUGGUUCCUUAAGAAUUGCAUUUAAUGCAGGAAUUUCUUUUUAGUUGACUUACUUUAUUGUUGGGGAGAUUCUUAGUUCGGGGGGGAUUAGCUCCCCGAAUUAUUCAUAACUAGUUAUGCUGGCUAGGUAUAUGUAGGCUUAGUAAUGGCCUUUUUAUUUUGUUAUAAUUAUUACCUUUUGUGUUUUAAUUUUUUUAGGUUUGAAUUUUUAUUGAGGGGUUUAUUUUAACUUUGUUGUGAAGUAAUUAUGAUAAAAUUAGUAGCAUUGUUAAUUGAAGUUUAGGAAUUCGGCAAUUUUAGCCUUCGCCUGUUUAUCAAAAACAUGGUCUAUUGAGUUUUUAUUUUAGAUCUGACCUGCCCGAUGAUUUUAUUGAAUGGCCGCAGUAUAUUGACUGUGCAAAGGUAGCAUAAUCAAUUGUCUUUUAAUUGGAGGCUUGUAUGAAUGGUUUGACGAGGGGCUUUCUUUCUUAAUUUCAUUAUUGUUAAUUUAAUUUGUUAGUUCAAAGGCUGACAUUAAGUUGAGGGACGAGAAGACCCUAUAGAAUUUUAUUUUUUUAUUUAAUGGUUUAUUUUAUUUUUGAUUAGUUUUUCAUUAUUAAAUUAAUUUUGUUGGGGUGACAGAGUAAUUUUAUUAACUUACUUUGGAUUUUUCAUUAAUUAGUGUGUUUUUGAUCCUUGAUUCUGGAUAAUAAGAUACAAUUACCUUAGGGAUAACAGCGUAAUUUCCUUGGAGAGUUCAUAUCGAUGGGGGAGAUUGCGACCUCGAUGUUGGAUUAAAGUUAGUGUAGGGUGUAGCAGCUUUAUUACUUGGUCUGUUCGACCAUUAAAUUUUUACAUGAUCUGAGUUCAGACCGGCGUGAGCCAGGUUGGUUUCUAUCUUUAAUUUUAUUUGAAUGCUUUAGUACGAAAGGACCAAGUAUUUGGAAUAGUUCUUUAUUGUUGAUUGACUUUAAAUGU